rnacentral:rRNA from 1 species
UAUGUAGGGUGCAAGCGUUGUCCGGAAUUAUUGGGCGUAAAGAGCUCGUAGGCGGUCUGUUGCGUCGGCUGUGAAAACCCGGGGCUCAACUCCGGGCCUGCAGCCGAUACGGCAGACUAGAGUUCGGCAGGGGAGACUGGAAUUCCUGGUGUAGCGGUGAAAUGCGCAGAUAUCAGGAGGAACACCGGUGGCGAAGGCGGGUCUCUGGGCCGAUACUGACGCUGAGGAGCGAAGCGUGGGGAGCAAACAGG